rnacentral:lncRNA from 1 species
UUUUUUUUGGGUGUAAAUCUACCAGUUGGUAGUAUACGUUGUAUUAUAUUUGGACUCUUUUUCUUUAAAUUGUCAAUUCAUAUAAGUUCUAGAUAUGGCUGAUCCUGUUUGGGAAAUUGCUAUUUUAUGUGACACAGUGCAUGAACUUCAGAGGUAGGUUAAUGACCUACAGAGAGAUUUGGUCACCGUGAGAGCAAAGAUGUUUAGAGAGAUGUAGAGGCUGAUGAGGGCCCUGCUGUUGCGAGUUGAUUGGUUGGCUGUCAUUAAUGAUGAUGAUGAUGAUAAUAAUAUUUAGAAUUAGAAUAUGUUUUUUCUUUUAGCGUAUGUAUUUUAAUUUUUCUAUAUUGGAUCUAUACCUAAUAUAUUUUAUUUUUCGUCUAAUGAAAAUUUUAUUUUUAGUUGACUUUGGCUUUUUAAUUCUUAUUCAAUUUAUAUUUUGUCUAUUUCUUCUAAACAUACAUAUUAAUGUUAAUAUAUCGACGGUUGGAGGUAAGGAGAAAUUUUGAAUCCAGUAGCAAUAGCAAUUUUGGCUUUUGAGUUCUUUCAAUAGAUGAACCAUGUGUUGGAACAUAUUGGCCAUCUGUUGGAUUUUUGUCAAUAGAUUAUCCAUCUGUUGCGACAUAUUUGUCAUAUGUUGAAGGAAAGCAUUCCAGUUUGAUGAUAUUGUGUUGUGUUCUUCCAGCUAAUGUUCAUCAGUUGCCACAGAUGGUUAAACUGUUGAGAAUAAUUGUGGUCUGCUAUAUUAUUUAGUUCAUGUUUUGCCUCUUUUUAUUGAUGCACAAGUUAUUUAAAAAGAUAUUUAUAUAUAAUAAAUGAUAACACUACGUUCAUAACAAUGAGUUAAAUAUAUAAAAGUCCACAACAAACAACAACAUAAGUUUCUACAAUUACAACGAUCAUGAUGGAUUACGAUCCGGGCAUGUAGCUCUUAUGUGGCCAGCGCGCUUACAUACGGAGCACUUGUUUCUUCUUGAUGAAAAUGACUCUCCGACUCCAUGCCUUCUCUUAUAUGGCUUUCUUCUCUAUUUGAUAGUUCUUGAGUCAAUAUAUGAAGGAGGUAUUAAUCUCCCCAAAAUCUCUGCAGGAAUAACCUAAGUUUCUUCUAGAGGCACCGAAGUAUGCCCACUAUAUAUCAUUUCAUGUUCUUCCACCAAAUAAUAUUGAGAGGAGUGCUCGUGAACUCUAGGUCCAUAUGUUGGACCGUAUUGAGCUCGAAGCGCUGUCAUGGCAUGUGGACAGGGUAUUUUGUCCAAGUCAAAAACUCUAGACUGUGAAAACAUCACCAUGACCAGUGAUACUGAAUUUGUAAUCUUCUAUUUUAUGAGAUAAUAAUCUAUUCUCCAAAUUGAUGUUUGUUGAUAUUAUUUUUUUAUUUUGAGAAUAAAUCGGGUUCUUUUUGGGCCCUUGAACUGCACACGCCUUUCAUUAAAAAAUCGUUCAUACUUCUUAUUUAUUACUUCAAACAUAGCCUUGAUGGGAAAUUCUCUUUCAUCGUCAAACAAUGAAUUCACCAACUCAGAAUGCCCGGCUCCAUCUCUCAAAAUCGACAUGUACGAGAAGUUCUGCUACCUUGGGAUUCACAUCCGUUAUUUGAUUGAAAUGGUCUAAAAACUCCUCUCUACUAUACGUUUUAGCUACUUUAUAAAAAAGGGUUAUGACCCUUUCGUUGUGAUAGUUGGUCCGAUUGUUCUCUCUAAGAUGCCUGAUGCAACAACAAAAGUAAGCUAAAGUGAAGAAAAUUGAACACAUCUUUGGAAUACUUGGACGCCUACCCAAAACAAAACACAACUCUUAGGUAUCUCCGACGCAUCUUCGCAGUUGUUCAAAAAAAAUCCAUAAGAGGCAUCACAUUCCUUGUCCGCUACACAAAAACGACAGGAAAGAUGUGAUUUCACAUCUUGCGCCUCCGCCGCUAGUAGAACUCCAUUAUACUUGCUCCUCAAGAAGGUACUAUUGAUGGCUAUGCCUUUUUACAAAUGUCGAAAACCUUGAAUUCAAGCACCAUAGGAUACAAAAAAGUACUUGAACCUUCCGUUUUCAUCAACAUGUAAUGUCGUCUUACUUCUGGGAUUUGUGGAUUCAAUCAUGUAAUGGUAGGCCACCAGGACUGCAUACCCAUGCUCGUGUGUCCCCCUAACCAAUUCCUUGGCAAUCCCCAUAACCGUAUAUAUCUUUCAAUAACUGACCAAGACACUCAAUUUCGUAAGGAUUUGAUUGGACAUAACCCUUGUUGAAGGGCCUUUUCCAUCGAGGAAACUAACUCUUGAAAUAUUCACCAAGGACCUUUGCCGUGGCGUGAGGAUUUUGGCCUGAGAUGUGCUACAAACCACAUGUGUGAUGCUUUUCAUGUUUAUGAAUGAUGAAUCUGUCAGAACUUAUGUACUUCACCGCUCUCAACCACCACUUGCAGUUCAGAUUAGCACAUUUGAGGCAAAAGACACUGCUCGAAUUAAUCACCUUCUUUAUUCUGAAAUCUUAUUUCAAGCAAGAAAUAAACAAAGUGGUAGAUAGUUCAUUCUUGUCCUUGAAUGACAUUUCGAUAAAAAAUCUGAUCCCAUCGUCUUAAAGAUUUCCAGAUUGUGUUAAUUGAGAAGAACUACCCAUCGUAUUGGUCGCAUCAAUGGGUGUAGGUGUUUGAUCAUCAUCUGAAAUGUCAUGUCUAGAUCAUCCAACCUAUCAUCAAAGAUGUCUUGUUCUUCUUCUUCUUCUACGUUCUGGUUCUCAUUCUCUCUCGUCUUUUCAACCACUUACACCCUUAACACUGGCCUGGAUGAAUCACUAAGAUAAGCACGCGACCGAACCUGAUCAAUUAUCUUGAAGGAAAGUACCCUCUGAUUUUUAAAGGAGUUGUACAUAUCGCUGAUGACGAGUUCUUUCUAUUGACAGUUCAGUCCAUAAUAACUGAUGAUUAAGUUCACAAAAUCAUCAUACGAAACAUCACUUUAGACUGUCAUAGCUAUCGUCUCUAGCAUUUCACCCUCGUUCCAAUGUUAUACAUAUCGAUUGCUCUUCUCGAUCCAUUGACUAUGACAAUCCACCCCUAUUGUUAUUCAUCCCUCCAUUAGUGGUACCUAAAUAAAUUCAUUUGUUAAAAAAAGUUAAUAGUGAUUUCAUAGUGCCGUAAAUGAAUAUCAAAAGUUGUGUAAUCAGUCGCAACAGAUUACUUACCUGUUGGAAUUCAUGUUACGUUCCUAAAACUGAUUUCAACAGACGAGUCAUCUGUUGUAACAGGUAAAUCAUAUGUUGCAACAGAUGAAGCGCCUGUUGGGAUUGAUGUUACAGUACUGAGGCACCUUUGAAGCUGAUUCCAACAGAUGAGUGAUAUGUUGCAACAGAUAAUUAACCUGUUGCGAUAGAUGACUUACCUGUUGCAACAAACGAUGAUCUGUUGGAAUCGAGGUCAGGUUCUAUCGCAACAGGUUACAUAUGUUGCAAUAGAUAUUUACCGUCUGUUGGAAUAGAGUUCAGGUUCUGUUGCAACAGGUUAAUAAUUUGUUACGAUAGAUAUUUACCCUAUUGCAACAGACAACACGUCUGUUGGAAUGAGUUCAGAUUCUGUUGCAACAGGUUACUAAUCUAUUACAUUAUAUUUAUCAUGUUGCACCAGAUAACUAACAUGUUGCAACAAAUGGGUCAUAUGUUGCAAUAGAUGACCCAUCUGUUCGAUUCAUGUUACGGCACUAUAGAAUCAUAAACAUGAAUCCAAAAUAUGAGUCUUCCUUUGAAACAGAUGUGUUUAAACAGAUGGCUCUUAUGUUGUAUUCAUGUUCGCAUGCUAUCUAAAAAACAGCACAAUAGCAGUUACCCAGAUGACAAAUUCAACUAAAAAUUAUAAUUUGACUUACCAAAGUCUCCUAUGAAGUAAUGCCAAAGUGGAAAGUGAUGUACGAAAUAAAAUUUGAUCUAAGAAAUUGGUCAAAUAGCAAUAGUAGCGGUAACAACAACAACAGCGACAAUGAUCAACAAGAAGAAGAUGAAGAUGAUAAUGAAGUAGAAGAUGAUGAUAAUGAAGCAGAAGAUGAUGAAUAAAAUAGCAGCAACAAUGAACAACAAAAAUCACUAAGAGAGAGAAAACAACGAUGGAUGAAAGAGAGAGAUAAAGGUGCUUUUUCCCUCUGUUUUCCAUUAUAUUAGGUAAAUAUUUGGAUCAAAGUGUAAAUUUAAAAACUUUUGGGUUAUUCUCAAACUUAUCAAACUUUCUUAAUCCAUAAUAAAGUAAUUGUCACCUCCACUCAAUUAUGAAAACUUUUGUCACCUACACCUCAUUUUAAAGCUUUUUUGUCACCUACAGCUCAAAGCCCCAUGUUGCUAGGAUUGUGGAAUGAAUAAUAAUUUUUGAAACCAAAUAAUAUAAUUUCAUUAUUAUCUAAAUCAUGAUUAAAGAUUUUCUUUGAAUAAUUAAAUCUUAACCAUUAAAUUUAACAUUUGUCAUAUGUCAUAUUGAAGAGUGGGAAAUGGAGAGCAGCCGGAUCCAAAUUAAACAACUACAAAUUAGGAGAUAGACGAGUAUUAUUUUGCCUAGUCUAAACAAAAACUAAAGCGUCAGGGCUUGAAUGACAAAUUCCCAAUCACCAAUGAGGAGAGUUAAAAAUUGAGAGCACGAGUGAACUAGAGUUGGCAGGAGAUUGAGAGAGAAUUGUGGAUUUGUGAUGAGAAAAUUGAAAAGAUUGGGGGGAAACUAAAACAGAAAAUUAAAUACUGUAUAUUGUUGCUAAAAUUUACAAACAAUAAAAAUUAGUGCAGAAACACUAUACUUAGUCGACGCAUCAUGCCUACUUUAUGCUUUGUCUUGCUUAGAAGGCUACUAACUAUAUCAAGGUGACUGGUGUCCAAACAUAUAGCCCUCGGCAUACAAAACAGAUAUGCUGACCAGAUCGUGCUACACCUCUUCUUCUCGUUUCAUCAACACCAGUAGAGAAUGAAUGGUCCAAGUUCACCCUACAUUAGACUGGCACAGUUCGGUCCAUCUUUCUUGACUCGAGACCUCUUUCACCAAGGACUAAUUCAAAUGUCAUUACACAGGUGAGUAGUCCUCUAUUAUGCCGAGGAAUAUAAUAUAAGAAUAUAAGACUUUUAAGAGAUUCAUUUGGAACCGGACGAGAGUUGCGUGUUAAGAGAACAGAAGCUUCAAUAAUUCCAAUUGCUCGAUGUCACUUUCUCACUCAAUAAGAGAAUUACAGUGCUAUACUUUGUCAGCUGUUGAAUCAGGAACAGAUGCGAAAGAUGUAAGAAAUUCAAUGAGUUGCUGUCCCUCCAUAGCCAUGACUUUAGAUGGAUACAACUAUCAAUAAUUGUUCUUCAAUUUUUCAAUUACAAGUAAAUUCACCAUCUGAAGCUUUUGGGAGGAUGAACUGGUUUUAUUCAAUCAAAAAAAUAGAUUAUGUACAAAACGCCCAACAACCCAGGUUCCCACUACACUAAGUGAUGUAUUUGAUCCUUUUCCAUUAUAUUAGGUAAAUAUUUGGAUCAAAGUGUAAAUUUAAAAACUUUUGGGUUAUUCUCAAACUUAUCAAACUUUCUUAAUCCAUAAUAAAGUAAUUGUCACCUCCACUCAAUUAUGAAAACUUUUGUCACCUACACCUCAUUUUAAAGCUUUUUUGUCACCUACAGCUCAAAGCCCCAUGUUGCUAGGAUUGUGGAAUGAAUAAUAAUUUUUGAAACCAAAUAAUAUAAUUUCAUUAUUAUCUAAAUCAUGAUUAAAGAUUUUCUUUGAAUAAUUAAAUCUUAACCAUUAAAUUUAACAUUUGUCAUAUGUCAUAUUGAAGAGUGGGAAAUGGAGAGCAGCCGGAUCCAAAUUAAACAACUACAAAUUAGGAGAUAGACGAGUAUUAUUUUGCCUAGUCUAAACAAAAACUAAAGCGUCAGGGCUUGAAUGACAAAUUCCCAAUCACCAAUGAGGAGAGUUAAAAAUUGAGAGCACGAGUGAACUAGAGUUGGCAGGAGAUUGAGAGAGAAUUGUGGAUUUGUGAUGAGAAAAUUGAAAAGAUUGGGGGGAAACUAAAACAGAAAAUUAAAUACUGUAUAUUGUUGCUAAAAUUUACAAACAAUAAAAAUUAGUGCAGAAACACUAUACUUAGUCGACGCAUCAUGCCUACUUUAUGCUUUGUCUUGCUUAGAAGGCUACUAACUAUAUCAAGGUGACUGGUGUCCAAACAUAUAGCCCUCGGCAUACAAAACAGAUAUGCUGACCAGAUCGUGCUACACCUCUUCUUCUCGUUUCAUCAACACCAGUAGAGAAUGAAUGGUCCAAGUUCACCCUACAUUAGACUGGCACAGUUCGGUCCAUCUUUCUUGACUCGAGACCUCUUUCACCAAGGACUAAUUCAAAUGUCAUUACACAGGUGAGUAGUCCUCUAUUAUGCCGAGGAAUAUAAUAUAAGAAUAUAAGACUUUUAAGAGAUUCAUUUGGAACCGGACGAGAGUUGCGUGUUAAGAGAACAGAAGCUUCAAUAAUUCCAAUUGCUCGAUGUCACUUUCUCACUCAAUAAGAGAAUUACAGUGCUAUACUUUGUCAGCUGUUGAAUCAGGAACAGAUGCGAAAGAUGUAAGAAAUUCAAUGAGUUGCUGUCCCUCCAUAGCCAUGACUUUAGAUGGAUACAACUAUCAAUAAUUGUUCUUCAAUUUUUCAAUUACAAGUAAAUUCACCAUCUGAAGCUUUUGGGAGGAUGAACUGGUUUUAUUCAAUCAAAAAAAUAGAUUAUGUACAAAACGCCCAACAACCCAGGUUCCCACUACACUAAGUGAUGUAUUUGAUCCUUUUCUGGCACACAAGAAUGUACAUGUGGAAAUGGCAUUUCAUGAUAUUGGGAGUGAUCAGCAAGUCCAACUCUAUAUCUCUGCGAUCCUAGGCUAACAUUUGAAUCAAGGCUUCAAA